CCCGGUCCUGCGGCAGUUCGACUGACACGCGCGGGUCCUCGCACGGGUGUCUACCUCUCUGCCUGUCCGUGACCGUGCCGACUGCCCCUUCGGGACCCUGCCGAACACCCGGGCAUACAGGGAUAACAGGGAUUCUGUCUGGACUGCAACAUUCACCUCUGCCCCAUGGGCUUUCUGUUUGUUUAUGUUCCUUAUGGACACAGCUUUUGCCUAAUGGCCUCUUUUUCACAUGCAGACCUCACAGAGUUCUGGAUGUGUUUUUUGGUCAACGACCUUGUAACCUUCGCUCCUCCUGACCUCUGUGUGGAUACAUGCAUGCGUGACUGGGAACAUAUGAAACCGUGAGGAAGAAGAACAUGAUAGGUGGAAUCUAGUCCAUUCAAAGCACUGCAUUCCCGGGAAAUUCUUCAAAGCGUAUUUUUCAUGUGGCCAAUUACUUAGCUGUUUUUUUUUUUUUCCCUUUUCUUUCUUUUUAAAUCUGUAGGUGUACCUUUUCUCGUCUAAUAUUAGUGCCAUAGCAUAAGUACCAACAUCUCUCGUUAAUACUACAGCCUAAAAUGGUUUGCUGAACUGCAGAAAAAUAUCUGAAAUAAAGGUAAGCCAUCUUCCUAAUGCUUAUAAUAAAAAAAGACAAUUAAAAGAAAUAAGUGUGAAUCAGGUUACUCAAACUAAAAAUGGUCAAUAAGAAACUUCAAUGUUAACAUCUUUGGUGUCUUAAUUAUAUCUCCUAUUCCAUGAUGAACAUACAUAUAACACAUGUCCUCAUAUCGGCAUAAUCCAAGCUAUACUCAACAUACAUACUGAAACUACCUUACAGAGCCUCACAGAAGCAAAACAUCCAGAGAACUGUUCAUUGAAUAAAGAAAAUAACAUCAAAAUAUUUUAUAUCCUACAAAGAUCAUUUUUUUUUCAAAAACAUGGUAGUUGUCGAACAGCCUAAAGAAAAAAAAAUAUGCACAAAUCCAUCUAUUUCUCAAAAAUCAAAACAUUAUAUUAGAAAAUCUGUUACUUACUCACCUGCCAAGUUCUAAGAUUAGAAAUCUUUGUUUGCACUUUAAUAGUUGAUGCAGCUGAAAGCUGCUAAGUCAUUUAAGGAACCUGCUCCCUAUUCUGUCUCAGAUGUUUCUUCUUCAACAAUUUUCUAAGUUAAAAGGCAUUAUAAAACACCCAAGUUUACAGUAUUAGAAACGAUACUUUGCAAAUAUUUCUCCAUUGCAUUUUUUUUGUGGAUGUACAUCCCCAACCCCCCCAUUAGGAAGUGACUGUACAGGGACUGCACUAAACGUCUCUGCUCUCAGUAUUGUUCACAGUCUUAAAAACACACAAAGAGAGAUAUGUUUUUGUAUAUGAAAUAAAUAUAUGGAAUCCACAUUGCCUUAUAGAUUUCAUUUGAAUGUCACUUGUUCAGUCAUCAUAGAGUCAGUCCCCCGUAAGAAGUUAUUUCUUGGUUCCUUUGGAAACUUCAGUGUUCUUGCGUGAUACAACAAUACUGUGUUUAAUUUUUUGCUUGAGAUUAGGAGAAAUGUAGAACCAUUAACAGCAUCAGGAGUCGAGAUGCUAAAAGGCUGGAAUAUGAUGAAAAAAAUUUCCCCCUGCAUACUAUAUCAAAUUCACCAUAGGCUCUUUCGGUUUAUUAAGUGGAAAGAACUCAAGCAAUUAAGUAAGAUGAUGUUGUGAGAAAGUAAACAACCCCAAAUGCAACAAGCUGUCAUGGUUGUGGUAACUUGAAUCACAUGGCUUAACAGUAAAAGACCUAUAUUCCUUACCAUUGUGUUUGGGAUCACUUUAACUUUGGGUUUGAAAAACAUGCAUAAAAAAGAGUUUUAACACAAGAAAAAGGCUCUCAGAGAACAAAAUGUUAGAUAACAAUAGAAACAAGCCAAAACCAUGCAAGCCAAAACCGGCCAAGAUGUGCUAGCCAGGUCUCCAUGAUGAAACAAAACAAAAACAAACAAAAACAAAAAAAAAACCCUGUUUUUUGUUUUUUUUUUCCUAUUCAACCUUCUCCUUACCUUUGUGAUCUGUUGGGGGGAAAAUGUGGUCAGGAGUUAAGGUGGUCAAUACUGACAGGAGAAUGAAGACCCUUGCUCUUAUUAUUUGUUACCCAUCCAAACAAGAUUACCAGCUAAGGAAAUUGAACUUUGAAAACAACUUUGCUACAAAGAACAUACUCUUGGCUGUAAUUCCUUACUGGGGAAUAAUGACUUGGACAAUACAAAGCAAUAUUCAAGGACUUUGAUAAUUUAUGAAAAUACUCGAUUUAGAUAGUUAAAGGAAUGCACUUCUUUAAACAUUAAUUUUUUUUAUCUUACGUGUAUGGUUUUGCCUGAAUACAUGAAUGUGCAUCAUAUGCAUGCAGUGACUACAGAAGCCAGAAGAGAACAUCAGAACUGGAACUGGAGUUGGGUUGUGAACCACACUGUGGAUGCUAGGAACUGUACCCUGAUCCUCUCCAGAGCAGCAAAUGCUCUUAGCUUCUGAGUCAUCUCACCAAACCCAAAGGGCAGUAUUUUAAAUCUGGGUCAAAUUUGAUUAAUCUCAUGUUGUAUUCUUUGGUUUUCCAAUUUAAAAUAUAUAACUAGCAAGAAAAACUAUUGUGAUAUAAUUUGUGGCCAUUAUCCAACAUAGUUUGUGUAAAGCAUUUAGAUCUGUGUCUACCACAGAGUAAUUAUUCAAUAAAUAUUGUUACCUGGUCCUCAGUAGCAUGAGGACUUGUGCUUAAAAUAUCAAAAGAUUCAG